CGUGCCUCCGGGGUACCUGUCCCUGCAGCAGGAAUCGAUGCUGAGCUCAUCGAUGCCCCAGUACUGGAUCUCCUGCAGGAAGGAGAGCGCGCACAGCUGCUCCAUGACAUGCAGAAGACACUAGAGUCCAGGGAGGUCAGGGAGCCGCUGUCCAGCGGCGAGUCCAGCAGCGCUCUGCCGCUGGAAGGCAUCUCUAACCCAGUCGCCGCGGCCUGAGGGCGCCACAAAGUUGGGGACACGCCGGAAGCUUUGGUCCCGCGAGGGCGGUGGCACGGCCCCUGGUGGCGGCCGGGAUUCCCCGGGCUCCCGAAGGGGUUACCUCUCCUUGGCGCACCCUCUCCACCCGCUGUGCGCCUUCCUCCUCCUGCCGCUAGGGAGCCGGGAGUGCGCGGAAGCAGCGCACAAGUGGCAGAAAGAGGAGACAGGGAGCAGAGGAAGGGUCGCGCUAAGAGAGAGGAUCAGGUGAGGUCCAAGCCCGACACAGUCCCUGUGCACACUGCCGGUCGCCCUGGCCCUUCCCAAACGUUGUCACCCCGCCUCCCAACUUCGCAAUUGCGAUUCCCAGCCCAGGAGGUGUACAGAUU
rnacentral:lncRNA from 1 species